CACACUUUUAUGCUUUCUCCAACUGAAAAAUAUAAAAUAAUAUAUCGUUUUUCAAAUAUUCUACACAAAUGUAUAUUCAACUGUUAUACGGAUCUGAUUCAAAUUCCUAAAAUUAUCUUUAAGAAUCUCUGUUCUUUUAUCCAAUUCUUCAGUUUUAGUUUGGUAAGAUUCUACUUUGACUGCCACGCGGCGCCAUGCGCAUAUAGUAAAGUCAAUGUCAUUAAUAUAAACUUUAUCGAACACGAAAAAAGCGACAGCUAUUAAGGUGCUCUAUAACACGACUUAUUUAUAGACGCGUCGCACUAGGAUCUAAUCCGAAAAUCCGAGGCAGUCAAAGUAGAAUCCUAAUUCUAGUUUCAGUUAACUCAAAUUUAUCUUAAGAAGAUUGUUUAUUGUUUCUGGAUGAAAUUGUUUGCCAAUGUAAAGG
rnacentral:lncRNA from 1 species